UACGUAGGGUGCGAGCGUUGUCCGGAAUUAUUGGGCGUAAAGAGCUUGUAGGCGGUUUGUCGCGUCUGCCGUGAAAAUUCGAGGCUCAACCUCGAACUUGCGGUGGGGUACGGGCAGACUAGAGUGUGGUAGGGGAGACUGGAAUUCCUGGUGUAGCGGUGAAAUGCGCAGAUAUCAGGAGGAACACCGAUGGCGAAGGCAGGUCUCUGGGCCACUACUGACGCUGAGAAGCGAAAGCAUGGGGAGCGAACAGG
rnacentral:rRNA from 1 species